UACGGGGGGGGGCAAGCGUUGUUCGGAAUUACUGGGCGUAAAGGGCUCGUAGGCGGCCAACUAAGUCAAACGUGAAAUCCCUCGGCUUAACCGGGGAACUGCGCUUGAUACUGGAUGGCUUGAGAUUGGGAGAGGGAUGCGGAAUUCCGGGUGUAGCGGUGGAAUGCGUAGAGAUCCGGAAGAACACCAGUGGCGAAGGCGGCCUGCUGGGCAGUUGCUGACGCUGAGGCGCGAAGGCCAGGGGAGCAAACGGG
rnacentral:rRNA from 1 species